GGGGUUGUGGCUCAGUGGCAGAGUGCUCGCCUAGCAUGCUGGAGACACUGAGUUCAAUCCUCAGCACCACA
rnacentral:tRNA from 1 species